rnacentral:rRNA from 1 species
AUGACUCAAUCUUGCUCUACUUUUGCUAUAAAAUAUUUCUGGCAGAUUGUUUACAAUACAGCCAUGUCUUGUUUUGCCAUGUUAGGUUCCUGUAGUAUGUUAAUUUCGUGCUCUGAACAUUGCUACCUGAUGCUGUUUCAGUCAUGUCCAGUAAUUUCUCCAAGUCUGUGA